rnacentral:misc_RNA from 1 species
GUGAAGAACGCAGCGAAAUGCGAUACUUGGUGUGAAUUGCAGAAUCCCGUGAACCAUCGAGUCUUUGAACGCAAGUUGCGCCCGAAGCCACUAGGCCGAGGGCACGCCUGCCUGGGCGUCACACGUCGUUGCCCCCCACCAUCUACUCCUUCGGGAUUGCGGGGGGCGGAUGAUGGCCUCCCGUGCGCCUAGCCGCGCGGUUGGCAUAAAUACCAAGUCCUCGGCGACGCACGCCACGACAAUCGGUGGUUGCGAAACCUCGGUUGCCCGUCGUGUGCGUUCGUCGCGCAUCGAGGGCUCGAAAAAAUGCUCGGCUCCGGCUCGGCUUUCAACGCGACCCCAGGUCAGGCGGGGUUACCCGCUGAAUUUAAGCAUAUCAAUAAGCGGAGGA